UACGGGGGGAGCAAGCGUUGUUCGGAUUUACUGGGCGUAAAGGGCGCGUAGGCGGCCAGCACAAGUCAGUUGUGAAAUCUCCGAGCUUAACUCGGAAAGGUCAACUGAUACUGUGCGGCUAGAGUGCGGAAGGGGCAACUGGAAUUCUUGGUGUAGCGGUGAAAUGCGUAGAUAUCAAGAGGAACACCUGCGGCGAAGGCGGGUUGCUGGGCCGACACUGACGCUGAUGCACGAAAGCGUGGGGAGCAAACAGG
rnacentral:rRNA from 1 species